GUUUAUCCAUAUCUGGAAAUUCAGGGCUACUCUCACAGAGUUACAUUGCCUCAUUUUGAGACAUUGGCAUGAACAGAUCAGGAAAGGUAAGAAGGGGAAUGACCUUAUGGGAACUCCAGAAAAUCCAAGGUCAUCAAACAUUCCAUUUUACAUCAUCUUUUAAUGCCUGUAACAUGAGAAGGGCCUGGGGCCUGGCAGCAUUUGCUUGAAGAAGUCUAUCUGAAAAACCUGGUGUUUGUUCUCACACGAUGGCCGUGUUUCAACAUGAUGACAGCCAAAACUGCAAGAAUACAGCAAGAACCCUUAUACAGCAAGAACAAACAUGGUCCCUUCCCUUAAACCAUAAACCAUGUAAUUACAACAAAGCAAUACAAAUGGACUGUGCAUGCUCAUUCCAGAUUUGUAACAGUGGUUAGAGAUUGCAAAAGAAACAGAGUAACAGAUGUACA
rnacentral:lncRNA from 1 species